AUGCCAUGAUGUGGACACUCCCUUUGAUAUUCCUUGAACUAAUCCCAUGCCUCAAACAGUGAAUCAUCUCGCUUUUGCUCAAAUGAUUGGAUCUUAUGCCUAUACUC